ACGUAGGGGGCAAGCGUUGUCCGGAUUUAUUGGGCGUAAAGAGCUCGUAGGCGGUUCGGUAAGUCGGGUGUGAAAAAUCUGGGCUCAACCCAGUGGAGCACCCGAUACUGCUGUGACUGGAGUCCGGUAGAGGAGUGUGGAAUUCCUGGUGUAGCGGUGAAAUGCGCAGAUAUCAGGAGGAACACCGACAGCGAAGGCAGCACUCUGGGCCGGUACUGACGCUGAGGAGCGAAAGCGUGGGGAGCAAACAGG
rnacentral:rRNA from 1 species